UCCUAGUUAACCUAGGCAGUCUCAUUAGAGUACCCGACUUUCUCGUUGGCAACUAAUGACAAGGGUUGCGCUCGUUGCGGGACUUAACCCAACACCUCACGGCACGAGCUGACGACAGCCAUGCAGCACCUGUGCAGAAGCUCUUUCGAGAAGUGCCAUCUCUGGCACGGUCCUCUGCAUUUCCAACCUGGGUAAGGUUCUUCGCGUUGCAUCGAAUUAAACCACAUGCUCCACUGCUUGUGCGGGCCCCCGUCAAUUCUUUUGAGUUUCACCCUUGCGAGCGUACUCCUCAGGCGGCAUACUUAUCGCGUUAGCUUCGACACCAUUAGGGUUGAGCCUAAUGACAUCAAGUAUGCAUCGUUUACGGCAAGGACUAC
rnacentral:misc_RNA from 1 species